rnacentral:rRNA from 1 species
GACGAACGCUGGCGGCGUGCUUAACACAUGCAAGUCGAACGGAAAGGCCCUGCUUUUGUGGGGUGCUCGAGUGGCGAACGGGUGAGUAACACGUGAGUAACCUGCCCUUGACUUUGGGAUAACUUCAGGAAACUGGGGCUAAUACCGGAUAGGAGCUCCUGCUGCAUGGUGGGGGUUGGAAAGUUUCGGCGGUUGGGGAUGGACUCGCGGCUUAUCAGCUUGUUGGUGGGGGAGUGGCUUACCAAGGCGUUGACGGGUAGCCGGCCUGAGAGGGUGACCGGCCACCUUGGUCCUGAGAUACGCCCCAGACUCCAAUGGUCGGCAGCAGUGGGAAAUAUUACAGAAUGGGCGGGAGCCUGAUACAGCAGCGCCGCGUGCGGGAUGACGGCCUUCGGGUUAUAAACCACUUUCGCCUGAGACGUAGCGUACUUGACGGUAAUGGGUAAAGAAGCACCGGCUAACUACGUG